rnacentral:lncRNA from 1 species
CGAAAAUAUCUGACAACGAACGCUUUUUGAAAGUUUCAGGUGGUGGUACCUUUGCUUCUGAAAACCACAAUGAAGAUACGGAAAAUUAAGAGUUUUCUUACGUGUAUCUUAAAAAAAAUGUAGAAAAAUUAUGUACGAACUUUAAGUUAAAAAAUAUCAAAUAUACAUAUGUGAUAAAUUGAAGUGUAAGUGGGAUAGAAACAGAGAGGCGUCACAUCACGAAUAGAGGCACGAUUGGCAUUGCGUAGGACGAAUUUCCGGUAUUCCUGAGUCCUGCCAAUUACUCGCAUUCCCGACAAUGUUCUACUCGAGAACGGCCUUCGUGGCAUUGUAAUUACCAAAUUGUAUCGAUGAAUAAUGAAGAACAGAGAGACAGAGAGAAAGAGAGAGAUAGAAAGAGAGAAAAUCAAAUAACAGAAUCUUUGACAGUAGAUACGACAGACAAUUAUUGAUAGAACAAUCGAUUUUGUAUCCUCUUUCUAUUAUCUUUCUUUUUCUUUCGUUGAAACGAAUAUAGCUUAGGAAAGUAGAAGAAAAAGGAAAAAUUAGGAUCAAUGUUGAAACCGUUCAAGAUCACGACGAUAAUUGAAAUAACUCGAAAAGAUAUUGAGUACUGAUUCGAACCCCGGGAAAAAGAAGAAGAAAAAAAGUAAUAGCGAUUCAAUUCCAUUAACUGCGUAUUGUAGCUUUUAAAGAGAAAAGAUUGAUAUUGUUAAGUAAAAAUCAUUAUCAAUUCAAUAAAUCCAUAACGAAA